GAUGAACGUUGGCGGUGUGCCUAAUACAUGCAAGUCGAACGAAGUUGAUAGCGAUAUUAGCUUAGUGGCGAACGGGUGAGUAACGCGUUGGUGAUCUGCCUUGAAGUGUGGAAUAACGUUUCGAAAGGAACGCUAAUACCGCAUGUGCUCUCGAUUUUCAGAAAGUUGAGAGUAAAGGAUUUAUUCGCUUCAAGAGGAGCCUGCGUCCCAUCAGCUGGUUGGUAGGGUAACGGCCUACCAAGGCUAUGACGGGUAGGGGACCUGAGAGGGUGGCCCCCCACAAUGGAACUGAAACACGGUCCAUACACCUACGGGUGGCAGCAGUAGGGAAUAUUAGAAAUGGACGAAAGUCUGAUCUAGCAACACCGCGUGUGCGAAGAAGGCCUUCGGGUCGUAAAGCACUUUUGGAAGGAAUAGGAAGGAAUGUACUUCCAGAAUAAGUCUCGGCUAACUACGUG
rnacentral:rRNA from 1 species